CGCUGGCGGCGUGCAUAACACAUGCAAGUCGAACGAUGAAACUUAGAUGAUUUCUUCGGAAUGAACUUAAGCGGAUUAGUGGCGAACGGGUGAGUAACACGUGAGUAACCUGCCUUACACAAGGGGAUAGCCUUUGGAAACGAAGAAUAAUACCCUAUAACGUCAAUUUAUCGCAUGAUAGAAUGACCAAAGAUUUAUCGGUGUAAGAUGGACUUGCGUCUGAUUAGCUAGUUGGUGAGAUAAAGGCCCACCAAGGCAACGAUCAGUAGCCGGCUUGAGAGAGUGUACGGCCACAUUGGGACUGAGACACGGCCCAAACUCCUACGGGAGGCAGCAGUGGGGAAUUUUGCACAAUGGGGGAAACCCUGAUGCAGCGACGCCGCGUGAUUUAGAAGGCCUUCGGGUUGUAAAAAUCUUUUUUAUGGGAUGAAAAUGACAGUACCAUAAGAAUAAGGUCCGGCUAAAUACGUGCCAGCAGCCGCGGUAAUACGUAUGGACCGAGCGUUGUCCGGAAUCAUUGGGCGUAAAGGGUACGUAGGCGGCCCAGUAAGUUAGAAGUGAAAUAAUAUAGCUCAACUAUAUAAAGCUUUUAAAACUGCUAGGCUUGAGAGAUGGAAGGGAAAGUGGAAUUCCUAGUGUAGCGGUGAAAUGCGCAGAUAUUAGGAAGAAUACCGGUGGCGAAGGCGACUUUCUGGUCAUCAUCUGACGCUGAGGUACGAAAGCGUGGGUAGCAAACAGGAUUAGAUACCCUGGUAGUCCACGCUGUAAACGAUGAGUGUUAGGUUCUUGGAAUAAUCUGGGAGCCGCAGCUAACGCAUUAAACACUCAGCGUGGGGAGUACGCACGCAAGUGUG
rnacentral:rRNA from 1 species